AACGAACGCUGGCGGCAGGCCUAACACAUGCAAGUCGAUCGCUGUCUUCGGACAGAGAGGCGCACGGGUGAGUAACACGUGGGAACAUACCCUUGAGUGCGGAAUAACUAUUGGAAACGAUAGCUAAUACCGCAUACGCCCUACGGGGGAAAGAUUUAUCGCUCAAGGAUUGGCCCGCGUCUGAUUAGCUAGUUGGUGAGGUAACGGCUCACCAAGGCGACGAUCAGUAGCUGGUUUGAGAGAAUGAUCAGCCACACUGGGACUGAGACACAGCCCAGACUCCUACGGGAGGCAGCAGUGGGGAAUAUUGGACAAUGGGCGCAAGCCUGAUCCAGCCAUGCCGCGUGAGUGAAGAAGGCCUUCGGGUUGUAAAGCUCUUUCAGACGUGACGAUGAUGACGGUAGCGUCAGAAGAAGCCCCGGCUAACUUCGUGCCAGCCGCCGCGGUAACAC
rnacentral:rRNA from 1 species